rnacentral:rRNA from 2 species
GCGGAGGAAAAGAAAAUAACAAUGAUUUCCCUAGUAACGGCGAGUGAAGAGGAAAGAGCUCAAAGUUGGAAACUGUUUGGCUUAGCUAAACCGUAUUGUAAACUGUAGAAACAUUUUCCUGGCACGCCGGAUUAAUAAGUCCUUUGGAACAAGGCAUCAUGGAGGGUGAGAAUCCCGUCUUUGAUCCGAGUAGUUGUCUUUUGUGAUAUGUUUUCAAAGAGUCAGGUUGUUUGGGAAUGCAGCCUAAAUUGGGUGGUAAAUCUCACCUAAAGCUAAAUAUUUGCGAGAGACCGAUAGCGAACAAGUACCGUGAGGGAAAGAUGAAAAGAACUUUGAAAAGAGAGUUAAACAGUAUGUGAAAUUGUUAAAAGGGAACCGUUUGGAGCCAGACUGGUUUGACUGUAAUCAACCUAGAAUUCGUUCUGGGUGCACUUGCAGUCUAUACCUGCCAACAACAGUUUGAUUUGGAGGAAAAAAUUAGUAGGAAUGUAGCCUCUCGAGGUGUUAUAGCCUACUAUCAUACUCUGGAUUGGACUGAGGAACGCAGCGAAUGCCAUUAGGCGAGAUUGCUGGGUGCUUUCGCUAAUAAAUGUUAGAAUUUCUGCUUCGGGUGGUGCUAAUGUUUAAAGGAGGAACACAUCUAGUAUAUUUUUUAUUCGCUUAGGUUGUUGGCUUAAUGACUCUAAAUGAC